rnacentral:rRNA from 1 species
AUUGAACGCUGGCGGCAGGCUUAACACAUGCAAGUCGAACGUGGGGCAGGCGUGUGAGUAAUACUUGUGAAUCUAGCUUAUGUAGGGGGAUAACUACGGGAAACUGUAGCUAAUACCGCUUACCAGAGUAUGAGCCCAAGUGGGAUUAUGUAGUUGGUGAGGUAAAGGAUCACCAAGCCGACGAUCUCUAGCUGGUCUGAGAGGAUGACCAGUAACAGUGGGACUGGGACAAGGACGAGACUUCGAAGGGAGGCAGCAUUGGGGAACAUUCCGCAAUGGGGGCAAGGUGACGCAGCCAUGCCGCGUGAAUGUAGAAGGCCUUCGGGGUGUAAAGUUCUAUCGGUAGCGAGGCGUUAACUAAAGAAGAAGCACCGGCUAACUCCGUGCCAGCAGCCGCGGUAAUAC